rnacentral:rRNA from 1 species
UACGGAGGGGGCUAGCGUUGUUCGGAAUUACUGGGCGUAAAGCGCACGUAGGCGGCUUUGUAAGUUAGAGGUGAAAGCCCGGGGCUCAACUCCGGAAUUGCCUUUAAGACUGCAUCGCUAGAAUUGUGGAGAGGUAAGUGGAAUUCCGAGUGUAGAGGUGAAAUUCGUAGAUAUUCGGAAGAACACCAGUGGCGAAGGCGACUUACUGGACACAAAUUGACGCUGAGGUGCGAAAGCGUGGGGAGCAAACAGG